rnacentral:rRNA from 1 species
UACGUAGGGUGCAAGCGUUGUCCGGAUUUAUUGGGCGUAAAGAGCUCGUAGGCGGUCCCGUAAGUCAGAUGUGAAAACUCAGGGCUCAACCCGGAGACGCCAUCUGAUACUGCGGUGACUGGAGUCUGGUAGGGGAACACGGAAUUCCUGGUGUAGCGGUGAAAUGCGCAGAUAUCAGGAGGAACACCGAUGGCGAAGGCAGUGUUCUGGGCCAGUACUGACGCUGAGGAGCGAAAGCGUGGGGAGCGAACAGG